GAGAAAUUCAUCGCGUUUCGUAGUAAGCAUUAGAUGAAUUGUGUGACGAAAAGUAUUUUUUAAUACUUUUUGCACCAUUUGUUUAUAUGAACUUGCAACGAACGUGUGCACUUUUCUUCUGGUAGGACGUCGCGAUCCGUCGAAUGUCGGUCUAUGACUUAUAGUGGAGACCAUUUGUUUUUUUGCAAAUAAAUGGACCUAUUUGUUCUGGCCGACUUGUUCAACGGUAUAUGAAUGGUUAAAGGCCGCUCUUUUUUGAGCGUUUGACUUAUUGCAAGCGCGCUAGAUGUGUCAUUAAUCGGACCUAGUGCCGGUUUUGGCCUCUAGUGACUGUUGGCGAUAAUGUUCUCAAACAGACCUUUUUUUUAAAAUUAAAACCAAUCUGCGACGCUAUAGCUUUGGGUAAUUUCAGGACCCGUCUUGAAACACGGACCAAGGAGUCUAGCAUAUACGCAAGUCAUUGGGUAUAAACUAAACCUAAAGGCGUAAUGAAAGUAAAAAUCUUUCUUGUAAAGAUUUAGGGAAGAUGGGUGGUUUUCAACUUUUGUUGACUGCUCCGCAUUCCCGGGGCGUCUCAUUCUCAUUGCGAGAAGAGGCGCACCAAGAGCGUAUACGCUGGGACCCGAAAGAUGGUGAACUAUGCCUGGUCAGGACGAAGUCAGGGGAAACCCUGAUGGAGGUCCGUAGCGAUUCUGACGUGCAAAUCGAUCGUCGGAACUGGGUA
rnacentral:rRNA from 1 species